rnacentral:rRNA from 1 species
UGGGGAAUCUUGCACAAUGGGCGCAAGCCUGAUGCAGCAACGCCGCGUGAACGAUGAAGGUCUUCGGAUCGUAAAGUUCCGUUGCAGGGGAAGAUAAUGACGGUACCCUGUGAGGAAGCCCCGGCUAACUACGUGCCAGCAGCCGCGGUAAUACGCAGGGGGCUAGCGUUAUCCGGAUUUACUGGGCGUAAAGGGUGCGUAGGUGGUCUUUCAAGUCGGUGGUUAAAGGCUACGGCUCAACCGUAGUUAGCCUCCGAAACUGGAAGACUUGAGUGCAGGAGAGGAAAGUGGAAUUCCCAGUGUAGCGGUGAAAUGCGUAGAUAUUGGGAGGAACACCAGUAGCGAAGGCGGCUUUCUGGACUGCAACUGACACUGAGGCACGAAAGCGUGGGUAGCAAACAGG